ensembl:snRNA U6 U6 spliceosomal RNA
AUGCUUUUGGUAGCAUUUUAUUAUUUAAAAAUCAGAACAACAUAGUUAAGAUGAGCACAGCCCCUAUGCAUGGAUGAUAUGCAAAUUCAUGAAGUGCUCAAAAAAAAA